rnacentral:lncRNA from 1 species
GUCACACACACACACACAUUUCUCUCCCUCACAUGUCUCUACCGAACCUUAUUGGACUUACAUUUAGUACUUUACGUUCAUUAUACAUGCUACAUAAACUAGUAAUCACUAAUAGUUACGUUUCAGGGUGGAAUUCUUUAAUAAUUACCUUUAAGCAUAUAAAUUGCCUUAUCAGUUAGCUAGUUUGCUAGUUUAGCUGGAUAAUUGUAGCUAGCGCUCUCUUAGCUCUCAGGAUAAUCCUCCAUGGACAUGGAAUCUUCUAACUUGGAUGGACGAGGGAAAAAAGGGAAGGAGUAGAGAAGUUAUCCAGCCUGCUGACUAAGAAAUGGAAAUAGCCUAUGCUUUGCUGUCUAUCUCUCUCUAUCUCUCUCCGUCUGUCUGCCUGCCUGCCUAACUGACAUAUUGCUGAAGGGCAACAUAGUCAAUGUACUUGCUAGGCUAAGCGUAACUUAGUGAAGACCUUGAUUUGUCUCUGUCUUUACAGUUCCUGAAACAUGUCAAUGGCCUGAUGCAUGGCCUCUACAGAGGUGGUUGGCCACCCACUCAGUUACCAGUGACCUAUUCUGCCACAUCCCAGGGAAUUGAGAGCGCAGGACCACCCCUUCUUAAAUCCAUAGUAAUUGACACAGAGGGUUCUACCUGGAACCCAAAACGGUUCAAACUGGAACCAAAAAGGCUUUGCCUAUGAGGACAGCUGAACAACCUUUUGGACCCUUGUUUCUAAGAGUGUAGUAUUUUUUUUCAGGUGCAAAAGCCUUGUGUCCUGAUUCAACAGACACCUCCCCUGGUGAGUCAUGUAAAGUUUCCUGAUUCAACAAAACCUCCCCUGGUGAGUCAUGUAAAGUUUCCUGAUUGAACAAACACCUCCCCUGGUGAGUCAUGUAAAGUUUCUCCCAUUUCUCUCUUGCUCAUUCUCUCUUUCACUCCCUCAAACUCACACACAUGCAGAUGUAGAGAAGAGGAAGAGAUAUACCAAUUACAUCAAUUUCUAACACUGUUUGUUGCAGGAAUUAUAUGACAGACGCAUAACCUUUUGAACAAUAUAAUAUUUUACUGUCGCUUUAUUGCCUCUUUA